GAUGAAGAACGUAGUGAAAUGCGAUAAGUAGUGUGAGUUGCAGAAUUCAGUGAAUCAUCGAAUCUUUGAACGCACAUUGCGCCCUUUGGUAUUCCAAAGGGCAUGCCUGUUCGAGCGUCAUUUGUACCCUCAAGCUUUGCUUGGUGUUGGGCGUCUUGUCUCUAGCUUUGCUGGAGACUCGCCUUAAAGUAAUUGGCAGCCGGCCUACUGGUUUCGGAGCGCAGCACAAGUCGCACUCUCUAUCAGCAAAGGUCUAGCAUCCAUUAAGCCUUUUUUUCAACUUUUGACCUCGGAUCAGGUAGGGAUACCCGCUGAACUUAAGCAUAUCAAUAAGCGGAGGA
rnacentral:misc_RNA from 1 species